rnacentral:rRNA from 1 species
AGAGAUUGAUCCUGGCUCAGAUUGAACGCUGGCGGCAUGCUUUACACAUGCAAGUCGAACGGUAACAGGUCUUCGGAUGCUGACGAGUGGCGAACGGGUGAGUAAUACAUCGGAACGUGCCUAGUAGUGGGGGAUAACUACUCGAAAGAGUAGCUAAUACCGCAUGAGAUCUACGGAUGAAAGCAGGGGACCUUCGGGCCUUGUGCUACUAGAGCGGCUGAUGGCAGAUUAGGUAGUUGGUGGGGUAAAGGCUUACCAAGCCUGCGAUCUGUAGCUGGUCUGAGAGGACGACCAGCCACACUGGGACUGAGACACGGCCCAGACUCCUACGGGAGGCAGCAGUGGGGAAUUUUGGACAAUGGGCGAAAGCCUGAUCCAGCAAUGCCGCGUGCAGGAUGAAGGCCCUCGGGUUGUAAACUGCUUUUGUACGGAACGAAAAGCCUGGGGCUAAUAUCCCCGGGUCAUGACGU